UUUCCGUAGGUGAACCUGCGGAAGGAUCAUUAAUGAAUUCAAUUGACAAGGUUGUCGCUGGCCUUCAGGCAUGCGCACGCUUUGCUCAAAUUCAUCCACUUUACCUCUGUGCACCUUUCGUAGUUGGUUCAGUUUAAAAGGGCGUUGUCCUCUGGAUCGUGCUAUGUAUUUUUACAAACUUGUCUGUUUAUGAAUGUCAUUUGCGAGUUAUAACGCAUACAAAUACAACUUUCAGCAACGGAUCUCUUGGCUCUC
rnacentral:misc_RNA from 1 species